ACUUAUAUUCUGUAGCAAGGUUAACCGUAUAGGGGAGCCGUAGGGAAACCGAGUCUUAACCGGGCGUUAAGUUGCAGGGUAUAGACCCGAAACCCGGUGAUCUAGCCAUGGGCAGGUUGAAGGUUGGGUAACACUAACUGGAGGACCGAACCGACUAAUGUUGAAAAAUUAGCGGAUGACCUGUGGCUGGGGGUGAAAGGCCAAUCAAACCGGGAGAUAGCUGGUUCUCCCCGAAAGCUAUUUAGGUAGCGCCUCGUGAAUUCAUCUCCGGGGGUAGAGCACUGUUUCGGCUAGGGGGCCAUCCCGGCUUACCAACCCGAUGCAAACUGCGAAUACCGGAGAAUGUUAUCACGGGAGACACACGGCGGGUGCUAACGUCCGUCGUGAAGAGGGAAACAACCCAGACCGCCAGCUAAGGUCCCAAAGUCAUGGUUAAGUGGGAAACGAUGUGGGAAGGCCCAGACAGCCAGGAUGUUGGCUUAGAAGCAGCCAUCAUUUAAAGAAAGCGUAAUAGCUCACUGGUCGAGUCGGCCUGCGCGGAAGAUGUAACGGGGCUAAACCAUGCACCGAAGCUGCGGCAGCGAACGUAUCACUUAAAGCGAUUCAGCGGGUUACGAUUGACGGAGCGAAGCGACGUCAAAGCGUAUACAAAGUCGAGUCGGUUUAAGGAUACGUUCGUUGGGUAGGGGAGCGUUCUGUAAGCCUGUGAAGGUGGCCUGUGAGGGUUGCUGGAGGUAUCAGAAGUGCGAAUGCUGACAUAAGUAACGAUAAAGCGGGUGAAAAGCCCGCUCGCCGGAAGACCAAGGGUUCCUGUCCAACGUUAAUCGGGGCAGGGUGAGUCGACCCCUAAGGCGAGGCCGAAAGGCGUAGUCGAUGGGAAACGGGUUAAUAUUCCCGUACUUGGUGUUACUGCGAAGGGGGGACGGAGAAGGCUAUGUUGGCCGGGCGACGGUUGUCCCGGUUUAAGCGUGUAGGUGUGUGUUCCAGGUAAAUCCGGUU
rnacentral:rRNA from 1 species